rnacentral:rRNA from 1 species
UACGUAGGGUGCAAGCGUUGUCCGGAAUUAUUGGGCGUAAAGAGCUCGUAGGCGGUUUGUCGCGUCUGCUGUGAAAACUCGGGGCUUAACCCCGGCCUGCAGUGGGUACGGGCAGACUAGAGUGCGGUAGGGGAGAUUGGAAUUCCUGGUGUAGCGGUGAAAUGCGCAGAUAUCAGGAGGAACACCGGUGGCGAAGGCGGCAUCCUGGACCAACACUGACACUGAGGAGCGAAAGCCAGGGAGCAAACGGG